rnacentral:pre_miRNA from 1 species
CAGCGUGCAGUGCCUUUCUCAAGAAGGUGUCAUUCAUGUGAACUAAAAUAUGAAUGUCGCCUUCUUGAGAAGAGUAAUGUACAGCAUG